GUGCCAUUUUUGUUUUAUCAACGGACGGAGAUGGAUUACGAACUUGCAAGUCCUGGUGUGCUCUGUUCACUUUCAACCGAGGAACUCUUAACAAAAAUACAAGAGUGGGGCUUAGAUGUCACCGAAGCUGAAGCUCAGCGUUUCAGAGACAAUGAGGUUGAUGGUGACACAGUUGACUGCGGUCUUACUGAGACUAUGGUUGCAUACCUUUUCCAAGGAUCCUUCAAAAAGCAGGUUAAAUUCAACCAAUUUGUGUCAAGGAUGAAGGAAUCUUCAGUGACGCUGACUCUACAGACUGUCUCUCCAGAAGACUGGCAACCAUCUACUUCGUCAACUUCAAUAAGGUAUCCCACAAAUUCUGAAUAUGUGCAAGCUGUGAAGACGCUGGUAAUGAAGUAUCCUUUCCUCAAGGAUCGUGAGGGAAAUGGUUAUCACACAUGGCAUAUGUCUUUGAGACGUAAAUUCAAAUCAGAGCGGGCACCACUAGUCGACAGUGGUAAGGAGAAGUUUGGUUCUACGAGGAGAGGGCAGCCUAAUAAAUGUCAACGAACAAGUCAGAGAAAUGUUUGUCAGGGACCAUGCGUCCAAGGAGAGGAUUUAUUAUCCAUAGACGCCCACUUAAAGGUCUUACAGUGCCAAUAUCAGAAGAUGCAACCAGAUACCAUGGUGGUUCAUAACCGUAUGCAGCAAACGUUUGCUUUACGGCAAAAAGAA
ensembl:lncRNA